CCCUUAGAUGUUCUGGGCCGCACGCGUGCUACACUGAGUGGAUCAGCGGGUCAGGUUGCGCGAAAGCGUUUCCUAAUCUUUAAAUCCGCUCGUGAUGGGGAUUGACGGUUGCAAUUUUCUGUCAUGAACGAGGAAUACCUUGUAAGCGCGGGUCAUCAUCCCGCGCUGAAUACGUCCCUGCCCUUUGUACACACCGCCCGUCGUUUCUUCCGACUGAUACUCAUUGUGAGUUGCAAGGACGCUUCAUUGUGAAAUUGCUGCGAAUGCUUUGUAUUGGAGGAAGAAAAAGUCGUAACA
rnacentral:rRNA from 1 species